rnacentral:misc_RNA from 1 species
AAGUCGUAACAAGGUUUCCGUAGGUGAACCUGCGGAAGGAUCAUUACAAAUUAUGGCGAACCUUGCGUUUCGCGAGGUUUUGCGUCCAAACGUAUUUAAAACAUCCCACUCUAAAAAAAAAAAAUUAUUUUAAUGAUAAAAAAUAAAAAGAUCACUUUCAACAACGGAUCUCUUGGUUCUC